rnacentral:rRNA from 1 species
UACGUAGGGUGCAAGCGUUGUCCGGAAUUAUUGGGCGUAAAGAGCUCGUAGGCGGUCUGUCACGUCGGCUGUGAAAUCCCGAGGCUCAACCUCGGGUCUGCAGUCGAUACGGGCAAACUAGAGUACUGCAGGGGAGAUGGAAUUCCUGGUGUAGCGGUGGAAUGCGCAGAUAUCAGGAGGAACACCGGUGGCGAAGGCGGGUCUCUGGGCAGUAACUGACGCUGGAG